GACGAACGCUGGCGGCGUGCUUAACACAUGCAAGUCGAACGGAAAGGCCCUGCUUUUGUGGGGUGCUCGAGUGGCGAACGGGUGAGUAACACGUGAGUAACCUGCCCUUGACUUUGGGAUAACUUCAGGAAACUGGGGCUAAUACCGGAUAGGAGCUCCUGCUGCAUGGUGGGGGUUGGAAAGUUUCGGCGGUUGGGGAUGGACUCGCGGCUUAUCAGCUUGUUGGUGGGGUAGUGGCUUACCAAGGCUUUGACGGGUAGCCGGCCUGAGAGGGUGACCGGCCACAUUGGGCCUGAGAUACGGCCCAGACUCCUACGGGAGGCAGCAGUGGGGAAUAUUGCACAAUGGGCGGAAGCCUGAGGCAGCAACGCCGCGUGCGGGAUGACGGCCUUCGGGUUGUAAACCGCUUUCGCCUGUGACGAAGCGUGAGUGACGGUAAUAGGUAAAGAAGCACCGGCUAACUACGUG
rnacentral:rRNA from 1 species